UAAGGAUGCACAGGUCUUUCAUCUGAAUAAGUACCUUCCAUGUGCCAGUAAGGGAGAUCAACACUGCUGUCACCUUCUUAGGGAUGAAUCCCUGAUUCUCCAUCUCUCUAACUAGAAGAUAUCCUUUUGUAUUGCCUUUGAAGAUAUGUAGAGUUGCUAACAAAUGACUGACUCUGGACCUGAACAAUGAAAGCCAGAGAAUGAAUGACAUAUCCGAGCAAGUCAUGCUGAUCAGAAAACUGAAGUUGCGAGCAAAUUCCCACUCUGAAAUCUGGAAGAGAAGCCACUGGGGCCAUCAGCUGUUGGAGCACUUACAUGAUCACUUUGACCAGUUUUUAGAGUGUAAGUGUACACUGGCAUGAUAGUGAGAAAUGCAU